rnacentral:hammerhead_ribozyme from 1 species
AUCCAGCUGACAAGUCCCGAAUAGGACGAAACGCGCAUCCUGCAU